UAGACUGACAUUAAAGUUUGAAACUUUUUUUAUCGUUGGCAACGACAGUCUAG
rnacentral:tRNA from 1 species